AUUGAACGCUGGCGGCAUGCUUUACACAUGCAAGUCGAACGGUAACAGGCCGCAAGGUGCUGACGAGUGGCGAACGGGCGAGUAAUGCAUCGGAACGUGCCCAGUCGUGGGGGAUAACGCAGCGAAAGAUGCGCUAAUACCGCAUACGAUCUAUGGAUGAAAGCGGGGGACCGUCAGGCCUCGCGCGAUUGGAGCGGCCGAUGUCAGCUUAGGUAGUUGGGGGGGUAAAGGCUCACCAGGCCAACGAUCUGGAGCUGGUCUGAGAGGACUACCAGCCACACUGGGACUGAGACACGGCCCAGACUCCUACGGGAGGCAGCAGUGGGGAAGUUUGGACAAUGAGCGCAAGCCUGAUCCAGCAAUGCCGCGUGAAGGAAGAAGGCCUUCGGGUUGUAAACUGCUUUUGUACGGAACGAAACGGUCCUGGUUAAUACCCGGGGCUAAUGACGGUACCGUAAGAAUAAGCACCGGCUAACUACGUGCCAGCAGCCGCCGUAACAC
rnacentral:rRNA from 1 species